GGCAGGUUACUACCGCUGAUGUGAAAGGUACUGCUGUGAAGGAGGAAUUCAAGGAGCACCUGUGUGAUCCUGUGAACCUAAUCCAGUCCUGGGGAGGCCUUCCUAGGAGACACAAGAUCAUCUAAGCUGAGACCUCAGGUGGAGAGACUGAGGUCCUACAUUUGUACUGAUUGCACUGUGUAUGCUGUGCUUCAGAGGCAGUCAGAGCCCUGAUCCACAGCCCAUGGGUAUUACUCCCAAGGGACUGCAUUACUUAUCUGUGGAGGACUCCUCUUCAGUUUCUUCUUAGGCAUAUGGAUUCGAUUUUCUACUGUCCCUAUAAAUACUGUGGUGUCUGUCUCCCUGCCAAACCAGCUACCUUUCU